rnacentral:rRNA from 1 species
GGGAUUAGUGGCGAACGGGUGAGUAACACGUGGGCAAUCUGCCCUGCACUCUGGGACAAGCCCUGGAAACGGGGUCUAAUACCGGAUACUGACCCUCGCAGGCAUCUGCGAGGUUCGAAAGCUCCGGCGGUGCAGGAUGAGCCCGCGGCCUAUCAGCUUGUUGGUGAGGUAAUGGCUCACCAAGGCGACGACGGGUAGCCGGCCUGAGAGGGCGACCGGCCACACUGGGACUGAGACACGGCCCAGACUCCUACGGGAGGCAGCAGUGGGGAAUAUUGCACAAUGGGCGAAAGCCUGAUGCAGCGACGCCGCGUGAGGGAUGACGGCCUUCGGGUUGUAAACCUCUUUCAGCAGGGAAGAAGCGAAAGUGACGGUACCUGCAGAAGAAGCGCCGGCUAACUACGUGCCAGCAGCCGCGGUAAUACGUAGGGCGCAAGCGUUGUCCGGAAUUAUUGGGCGUAAAGAGCUCGUAGGCGGCUUGUCGCGUCGGUUGUGAAAGCCCGGGGCUUAACCCCGGGUCUGCAGUCGAUACGGGCAGGCUAGAGUUCGGUAGGGGAGAUCGGAAUUCCUGGUGUAGCGGUGAAAUGCGCAGAUAUCAGGAGGAACACCGGUGGCGAAGGCGGAUCUCUGGGCCGAUACUGACGCUGAGGAGCGAAAGCGUGGGGAGCGAACAGGAUUAGAUACCCUGGUAGUCCACGCCGUAAACGGUGGGCACUAGGUGUGGGCAACAUUCCACGUUGUCCGUGCCGCAGCUAACGC